rnacentral:rRNA from 1 species
CUACGGGAGGCAGCAGUCGAGAAUCUUCGGCAAUGGGCGCAAGCCUGACCGAGCGACGCCGCGUGUGCGAUGAAGGCCUUCGGGUUGUAAAGCACUGUCGAGGGGGAUAAAGGCCGCAAGGCUUGAUAGAACCCUGGAGGAAGCACGGGCUAAGUUCGUGCCAGCAGCCGCGGUAAGACGAACCGUGCGAACGUUGUUCGGAAUCACUGGGCUUAAAGGGCGCGUAGGCGGGUGGCCAAGUCGGGGGUGAAAUCCUCUCGCUUAACGAGAGAACUGCCCUCGAUACUGGUCGUCUCGAGGGAGGUAGGGGCACGUGGAACUUCCGGUGGAGCGGUGAAAUGCGUAGAGAUCGGAAGGAACGCCGGUGGCGAAAGCGACGUGCUGGACCUUUACUGACGCUGAGGCGCGAAAGCCAGGGGAGCAAACGGGAUUAGAUACCCCGGUAGUCC